GGCUCUAUUGCUUAGUUGGUUAAAGCGCCUGUCUCGUCAACAGGAGACCCUGGGUUCGACUCCCAGUGGAGCCU